rnacentral:rRNA from 1 species
GGGGAAUAUUGCACAAUGGGCGAAAGCCUGAUGCAGCAACGCCGCGUGCGGGAUGACGGGCCUUCGGGUUGUAAAACCGCUUUCAGCAGGGACGAAGGGUUUUCUGACGGUACCUGCAGAAGAAGCACCGGCUAACUACGUGCCAGCAGCCGCGGUGAUACGUAGGGUGCGAGCGUUGUCCGGAAUUAUUGGGCGUAAAGAGCUUGUAGGCGGUCCGUUGCGUUGGAAGUGAAAAACUCAGGGCUUAACCCUGAGCCUGCUUUCGAUACGGGCGGACUUGAGGGAUGUAGGGGAGAACGGAAUCCUGGUGGAGCGGUGGAAUGCGCAGAUAUCAGGAGGAACACCAGUGGCGAAGGCGGUUCUCUGGACAUUUCCUGACGCUGAGAAGCGAAAGCGUGGGGAGCAAACAGGCUUAGAUACCCUGGUAGUCCACGCCGUAAACGGUGGGCACUAGGUGUGGGACCCAUUCCACGGGUUCCGU